rnacentral:rRNA from 3 species
GAGUGGACGCAUCACUGGUGUUCGGGUUGUCAUGCCAAUGGCACUGCCCGGUAGCUAAAUGCGGAAGAGAUAAGUGCUGAAAGCAUCUAAGCACGAAACUUGCCCCGAGAUGAGUUCUCCCUGAGACUUAGAGUCUCCUGAAGGAACGUUGAAGACGACGACGUUGAUAGGCCGGGUGUGUAAGCGCAGCGAUGCGUUGAGCUAACCGGUACUAAUGAACCGUGAGGCUUAACCUUACAACGCCGAAG